CAGCAGCCGCGGUAAUACGGAGGGAGCUAGCGUUGUUCGGAAUUACUGGGCGUAAAGCGCACGUAGGCGGCUUUGUAAGUUAGAGGUGAAAGCCUGGAGCUCAACUCCAGAAUUGCCUUUAAGACUGCAUCGCUUGAAUCCGAGAGAGGUGAGUGGAAUUCCGAGUGUAGAGGUGAAAUUCGUAGAUAUUCGGAAGAACACCAGUGGCGAAGGCGGCUCACUGGCUCGGUAUUGACGCUGAGGUGCGAAAGCGUGGGGAGCAAACAGGAUUAGAUACCCCUGUAGUCCCUGUCUCUUAUAC
rnacentral:rRNA from 1 species